CCUACGGGAGGCAGCAGUGAGGAAUAUUGGUCAAUGGGCGAGAGCCUGACCCAGCCAAGUCGCGUGAGGGAAGAAGGUUCUAUGGAUUGUAAACCUCUUUUGCCGGGGAGCAAAAAGCGGUACGUGUACCGCAUCGAGAGUACCCGGUGAAAAAGCAUCGGCUAAGUCCGUGCCAGCAUCCGCGGGAAUACGGAGGAUGCGAGCGUUAUCCGGAUUAUUUGGGUUUAAAGGGUGGGCAGGCGGCGAGGUAAGUCAGCGGUAAAAUUGCGGGGCUCAACCCCGACCAGCCGUUGAAACUGGCUUGCUAGAGUGGGCGAGAGGUAUGCGGAAUGCGUGGUGUAGCGGUGAAAUGCGUAGAUAUCACGCAGAACUCCGAUUGCGAAGGCAGCAUACCGGCGCCCAACUGACGCUCAGGCACGAAAGCGUGGGUAUCGAACAGGAUUAGAUACCCUUGUAGUC
rnacentral:rRNA from 1 species